GAAGGAAGCUUGCUUUCAUUUUAAACUUAGUGGCGGACGGGUGAGUAACGCGUGAGGAACCUGCCCUUCAGUGGGGAACAACAACUAGAAAUGGUUGCUAAUACCGCAUAAUGUCGGAGUGCCGCAUGACAUUCCGACCAAAGGAUUUAUUCGCUGAAGGAUGGCCUCGCGUCCGAUUAGAUAGUUGGUGAGGUAACGGCCCACCAAGUCUGCGAUCGGUAGCCGAACUGAGAGGUUGAUCGGCCACAUUGGGACUGAGACACGGCCCAGACUCCUACGGGAGGCAGCAGUGGGGAAUAUUGGGCAAUGGGCGAAAGCCUGACCCAGCAACGCCGCGUGAAGGAUGACGGUCCUCGGAUUGUAAACUUCUUUAAUUGGGGAAGAACAAAAUGACCUACCCAAAGAAUAAGUCACGGCUAACUACGUGCCAGCAGCCGCGGUAAUACGUAGGUGACAAGCGUUAUCCGGAUUUACUGGGCGUAAAGGGCGUGUAGGCGGUCUUGCAAGUCAGAAGUGAAAUUCCUGAGCUCAACUCGGGCGCUGCUUCUGAAACUGCAGGACUUGAGUGCUGGAGGGGAUAGCGGAAUUCCUAGUGGAGCGGUAAAAUGCGCAGAUAUUAGGAAGAACACCGGUGGCGAAGGCGGCUAUCUGGACAGUAACUGACGCUGA
rnacentral:rRNA from 1 species